AAUCUCAGUUGACUUCAAUGUUCGUUAGCAGGUCCGGACCAUAUCGAGAUACUCUGAAUUUGUUUGAAGACAUCACCAAUAUACAAGAAGGUGUUUGCUAGACAUGAUCAAACUUCACUGACGCCACCUCCGUAUGAAAAUCAUGCCGCAAAAAAUUAAUUUACAAUGAUUAUUAAGUUAACCAAUCAAUAUUAUGUUCAAACAGAUGUAGUAUAUCUUGAUCAUUAUAUUUUCUAUGCUAUGCAAACAAUGUUUUGGUCCUAAUUCAUGUAUAACCAAAUAACAAUCAGCGCACCAUGCUUCAC
rnacentral:lncRNA from 1 species